rnacentral:rRNA from 1 species
AUUGAACGCUGGCGGCAGGCCUAACACAUGCAAGUCGAGCGGUAACAGGAAGAAAGCUUGCUUUCUUUGCUGACGAGCGGCGGACGGGUGAGUAAUGCCUAGGGAUCUGCCCAGUCGAGGGGGAUAACAGUUGGAAACGACUGCUAAUACCGCAUACGCCCUACGGGGGAAAGGAGGGGACCUUCGGGCCUUUCGCGAUUGGAUGAACCUAGGUGGGAUUAGCUAGUUGGUAAGGUAAUGGCUUACCAAGGCGACGAUCCCUAGCUGUUCUGAGAGGAUGAUCAGCCACACUGGGACUGAGACACGGCCCAGACUCCUACGGGAGGCAGCAGUGGGGAAUAUUGCACAAUGGGGGAAACCCUGAUGCAGCCAUGCCGCGUGUGUGAAGAAGGCCCUAGGGUUGUAAAGCACUUUCAKYAGGGAGGAAAGGUAGUUGUUUAAUAAACAGCUGCUGUGACGUUACCUACAGAAGAAGGACCGGCUAACUUCGUGCCAGCAGCCGCGGUAAUACGAGGGGUCCAAGCGUUAAUCGGAAUUACUGGGCGUAAAGCGUACGCAGGCGGUUCAUUAAGCCAGAUGUGAAAUCCCCGGGCUCAACCUGGGAAUUG